rnacentral:misc_RNA from 1 species
CUGCAAUGUCAAUUUCACCACUUAUUAAUGCCUCAUCUAUUUCUUUUGUAAACAAUCCUUUCCCACCUAUAUCUGCAAGUGGUUGAGUUAAUAUUUUAUCUCCUGUUGUCUUUAUUAUNNNNNNNNUAGCCCCUUCUUCAGCUAGCUCAGAAUGUAUUGCCAUGAGUUUGUCCCGUGUCUCAUAAGCCUGGGCAACUGCUAGUGGGCUUCCUCUUGUGCCAAUUCUUAUAAGAGCAACUUCGGGUUCUUUGGUCUGCUGUUCAAUGGCAACCGAGGCCCUUGGGACCCUCGAACUUUGUUUCCUAAUGCAAUUUGGUAAAGAUCGAGUCUUGAAACGUGGAAGAGAAAACCCAAUAACUGAAACAGACCCACCAGUGCGAGAGAUGACUGAAGAAGAAGGACAUGACAUGAGACCUUGGCUUGUAGACAGGGAAGAUAGCGUCUCCAU